rnacentral:misc_RNA from 1 species
GGUCAAACCGGUGGUGG